CGGCGCACGGGUGAGUACACGUNUGCAACCUUCCUCUAACUGGAGAAUAGCGAGAAGAGGUNCGGACUUCUACUCCAUAAAGUCAAUUUAAGGCAUCUUUUAUUGAUUACAGCUCCGGCGGUUAGAGAUGGGCAUGCGUGUCAUUAGCUAGUUGGUGAGGUAACGGCUCACCAAUGCCACGAUGACUAGGGGGUCUGAGAGGAUGAUCCCCCACACUGGUACUGAGACACGGACCAGACUCCUGCGGGAGGCAGCAGUGAGGAAUAUUGGGCAGUGGACGCAAGUCUGACCCAGCCAUGCCGCGUGCAGGAUGACUGCCCUAUGGGUUGUAAACUGCUUUUGUUUGGGAAGAAACCCCCGAUCGUGAUCGGGGCUGACGGUACCAUACGAAUAAGCAUCGGCUAACUCCGUGCCAGCAGCCGCGGUAAUACGGAGGAUGCAAGCGUUAUCCGGAUUCAUUGGGUUUAAAGGGUGCGCAGGCGGAAUAUUAAGUCAGUGGUGAAAUCCUGCAGCUUAACUGUAGAACUGCCAUUGAUACUGAUAUUCUUGAAUAUAGUUGAGGUGGGCGGAAUGUGU
rnacentral:rRNA from 1 species